rnacentral:lncRNA from 1 species
AUGUUUCUUUCCUGCUACAGGUAUAAAUUACAAGCCUUUUGCUCUUUGAUCCUACAUAUUUCACCUGCAGGCAGCAUCACACUGAAUUCUCGACCCGCACAGAUGGGGCAGAUCACUUCCAAGCAGAAUGUGCUGCCUCGGACCGUCCGCUUCUCGACCCACGAGGAAGGCCCCCCCAGAUACUCCCCGCAUCAUUUCAAUGGCAGGAAUCCAAAUUUGCGCACCAAUCCCACCGCCAUCGUCUCAGACGAGGACUCCAGCAGCACAGCAGAUCGGCGGGGAUCGCGGGCGGAGCUGCGCCGCUCCUCCCUCUACAGCACCAUCGACCUGGUUCCUCAGCUGGAGCAUUAUGCCAGCUCCAUACCGCGCCAGCAGGCGAGGAGCCGACCCUCCCUGGAGGUGCUGAGGAAGUCCUUUGAGGUGAGCUACAAGGACCCCCCAGCACUUUGCAUCAUCUGGUUUUCAAGGUUACCUCCCAGUUAGAGGCAGAACCUAACAGCAGGGAAGGAAAACUACACUACAUAUUUUAAAUUCAAUGUCAUGCCUUAAGACUCACUUUGAUGAAAAUUGUGUUUUCUGUGUCAACUUGUGGCGUUUUUCUGAUUAUAAAGGACAUAUAACAAAAAAAAAUAAGCUUAAAAUUUCAUUUUUGAGUAUUUCCUUAUUCAAGUUGUUUUGAUUCAGGCUCGACAAAAAAAUGCAGUUUAAAAAAGCUUGUAGCAGUUACAGAGGUGCUGCUCCCCGCUCUGCUCCAUUCUGAUGCAUCCACUUGUAGACGACUAGAUCCAUGUACGUCUUUGUUUAUCUGACCUGGAAUCUGGCUUAAAACUGUAUGGCUGGAUAACUCCAAUAUUGCUUGCAACUUUUGUUGGACAGUAAAAGUUAAAUUAGGGUUGUGAGGGGCUGUAAGCUAGCGGGACGGUGUUUAUAGACAGAUGGAUGGGGGGAAGUAGGGCUAGGCUUACUCUGUGACAACAGCUUUGCCCACAACUAAGAGGUUCAUUUCUUAUGAACUCCUGCUUCUCUGCAGAAACUUAGACAGUUUUUUUUUUUUUUGCUUUUGGCUAAAAAUAUCACAAAAUAAAAGCCCAUCGAGGAUACUUUUAAAAAUAGAUCAACA